AAGGACAGCCAUAGGCCCAGCCCAUCCUCAUGGGCUCCAGCCCGUGCCUGGGUUCCUCUCUCUCACCCACCUCCCGCAUGCCACCUGACAUCACUGUCCCUCUUCCACUGUCUGCCCUGUGGACCUGAAACUCCUCAUGCAAGGUGGCUUAACCAGCUCCUCUAUUGUGGCCUCCCAACAACCUAAAGACAGUCAAUUCACCUCGCCACGCGUCUCUUCUCUGCAAAGCCCACGCAGGAGGACCUCCUGGAGCCAACUGCUCGCGUCCUGAAAUAAAUUAGCAUUCAGCGGGCCUGCCGGCUGAGAU
rnacentral:lncRNA from 13 species